rnacentral:rRNA from 1 species
UACGUAGGGUGCGAGCGUUGUCCGGAAUUAUUGGGCGUAAAGGGUGCGUAGGCGGCGCGGUAAGUCGGGUGUGAAAUCUCGGGGCUUAACUCCGAAACUGCAUUCGAUACUGCCGUGCUUGAGGACUGGAGAGGAGACUGGAAUUUACGGUGUAGCGGUGAAAUGCGUAGAUAUCGUAAGGAAGACCAGUGGCGAAGGCGGGGUCUCUGGACAGUUCCUGACGCUGAGGCACGAAGGCCAGGGGGAGCAAAACGGG